CCUUAUUAUAAAAAAAGUAUAUGGAUGUCAUGUUAUAGGAAUGUAGACUUCUAUCAGAGGCAGUAAGAGAGAACUUAUGAUACAGGCCUUCCAGCUUCAUACAGGAUGGAGCACACUAACACCAGACAGAGGACCAGGUGGAGAGGUGGAAUUAAAACCUUUGCUGGGGUGGGAUGGAGCACACUAACACCAGACAGAGAACCAGGUGGAGAGGUGGAAUUAAAACCUUUGCUGGGGUGGGAUGGAGCACACUAACACCAGACAGAGGACCAGGUGGAGAGGUGGAAUUAUAACCUUUGCUGGGACAGGAUGGAGCACACUAACACCAGACAGAGGACCAGGUGGAGAGGUGGAAUUACAACCUUUGCUGGGGCAGGAUGGAGCACACUAACACCAGACAGAAGACCAGGUGGAGAGGUGGAAUUAUAACCUUUGCUGGGGCAGGAUGGAGCACACUAACACCAGACAGAAGACCAGGUGGAGAGGUGGAAUUACAACCUUUGCUGGGGCAGGAUGGAGCACACUAACGCCAGACAGAGAACCAGGUGGAGAGGUGGAAUUACAACCUUUGCUGGGGUGGGAUGGAGCACACUAACACCAGACAGAGGACCAGGUGGAGAGGUGGAAUUACAACCUUUGCUGGGGCUGGAUGGAGCACACUAACACCAGACAGAGAACCAGGUGGAGAGGUGGAAUUACAACCUUUGCUGGGGCAGGAUGGAGCACACUAACACCAGACAGAGAACCAGGUGGAGAGGUGGAAUUACAACCUUUGCUGGGGUGGAAUGGAGCACACUAACACCAGACAGAGAACACUGGGGAAGGCCUUUGUUAUGACCUAGCCAAGCAAACCUAACAAAACCUGGUGAUAUUGCAAAGAAGCCCAAAGGAAUAUAAAAUAGAGAGCAUAAAGUGAGGUCAGGGUUCACAAAGUCCCCCAAGAAUCAAUCAGCUGAGGUAUUGAAAAUGAACUUGAACUUGAGGUCAGUGAAAUGGCAUACAGGCAACUCAUUAGCUUGGAAAUUAUACGUCAGGAAGAGGGUCAUUAGUACAGGAAUUGUGGGUUUGGAGAGGGACAAGGUAACAUAUAGCAAUGCACUUCACUUCUAAACUCCAUGGAAAUGUCAACACAACCUUUGCCCGGUACUCUCACUGAAAUGGCAUACAUGUAACUCAUUAGCUUGGAAAUUAUAGGUCAGGAAGAGGGUCAUUAGUGCAGGAAUUAUAGGUUGGGAGAGGAACAAGGUAACAUAUAGCAAUGCACUUCACUUCUAAACUCCAUGGAAAUGUCAACACAACCUUUGCCCGGUACUCUCACUGAAAUGGCAUACAGGUAACUCAUUAGCUUGGAAAUUAUAGGUCAGAAAGAGGGUCAUUAGUGCAGGAAUUAUAGGUUAGGAGAGGGACAAGGUAGACACAAAUAGCAAUGCACUUCAGACCUCAACUCCAUGGAAACAUCAACACAACCUUUGCCCAGUACUCUAAGACGCUUCCACCUCUCACAACAGCUGUUUCCCAAGGCCGCAAAGGUUAGUUGGGUUCUCCUGAGUGUUGUUCUUGAGGUUUAUGAUGCACAAGCCCUGUCCAACUAUCACUGGGCUCAUAAAACAACCUCGUAUGAAAACGCUAACACAACCUCAACGAAAGCCUUACCAAAUGUGCGUGUGUGUGUGUGUGUGUGUGUGUGUGUGUGUGUGUGUGUGUGUGUGUGUGUGUGUAGGCCAUGAAGUGUCAAAGAAUAUGGUUUCAAGUCUCCUCAAACAAGUGCAGUGACAGAGAUUGUACAGGUGAUGCAGGUGACUCUCAAUGCCCAUCAGAGCCAUAGAGACAAUAGUGUUUCUUUGCAUGGAGAGGAACAGUGACGCGACAAGACUUGGAGGUGUUAGACAGAGAGGAAAGAACAGCACUGGAUCAAGCUGGAUGGGGGAGGAAGCAGAUGACUCUCAAUGCCCAUCAGAGCCACAGAGACAAUAGUGUUUCUUUGCAUGGAGAGGAACAGUGAUGCGACAAGACUUGGAGGUGUUAGACAGAGAGGAAAGAACAGCACUGGAUCAAGCUGGAUGGGGGAGGAUGUAGGUGACUCUCAUGCCCAUCAGAGCCACAGAGACAAUAGUGUUUCUUUGCAUGGAGAGGAACAGUGGAACAACAGGACUUGGAGGUGUUAGACAGAGAGGAAAGAACAGCACUGGAUCAAGCUGGAUGGGGGAGGAAGCAGGUGACUCUCAAUGCCCA